rnacentral:rRNA from 1 species
CUACGGGCGGCAGCAGUGAGGAAUAUUGCACAAUGGGGGGAACCCUGAUGCAGCAACGCCGCGUGGAGGAUGACGCAUUUCGGUGUGUAAACUCCUUUUAUAUGUCAAGAAAAUGACGGUAGCAUAUGAAUAAGCACCGGCUAACUCCGUGCCAGCAGCCGCGGUAAUACGGAGGGUGCAAGCGUUACUCGGAAUCACUGGGCGUAAAGGACGCGUAGGCGGGUUGGAAGGCAGGUGUGAAAUCCUACAGCUUAACUGUAGAACUGCACUUGAAACUUCUAAUCUAGAGUAUGGGAGGGGGAGAUGGAAUUAGUGGUGUAGGGGUAAAAUCCGUAGAUAUCACUAGGAAUACCUAAAGCGAAGGCGAUCUCCUGGAACAUUACUGACGCUAAGGCGUGAAAGCGUGGGGAGCAAACAGGAUUAGAUACCCGUGUAGUC